rnacentral:rRNA from 1 species
AGAGACCGGCGCACGGGUGCGUAACGCGUAUGCAAUCUACCUUUUACAGAGGGAUAGCCCAGAGAAAUUUGGAUUAAUACCUCAUAGUAUAGCUGAAUCGCAUGAUUCUACUAUUAAAGUCACAACGGUAAAAGAUGAGCAUGCGUCCCAUUAGCUAGUUGGUAAGGUAACGGCUUACCAAGGCUACGAUGGGUAGGGGUCCUGAGAGGGAGAUCCCCCACACUGGUACUGAGACACGGACCAGACUCCUACGGGAGGCAGCAGUGAGGAAUAUUGGACAAUGGGCGCAAGCCUGAUCCAGCCAUGCCGCGUGCAGGAUGACGGUCCUAUGGAUUGUAAACUGCUUUUAUACGAGAAGAAACACUGCUUCGUGAAGCAGCUUGACGGUAUCGUAAGAAUAAGGAUCGGCUAACUCCGUGCCAGCAGCCGCGGUAAUACGGAGGAUCCAAGCGUUAUCCGGAAUCAUUGGGUUUAAAGGGUCCGUAGGCGGUUUAAUAAGUCAGUGGUGAAAGCCCAUCGCUCAACGGUGGAACGGCCAUUGAUACUGUUAAACUUGAAUUAUUAGGAAGUAACUAGAAUAUGUAGUGUAGCGGUGAAAUGCUUAGAGAUUACAUGGAAUACCAAUUGCGAAGGCAGGUUACUACUAAUGGAUUGACGCUGAUGGACGAAAGCGUGGGUAGCGAACAGGAUUAGAUACCCUGGUAGUCCACGCCGUAAACGAUGGAUACUAGCUGUUGGAAGCAAUUUCAGUGGCUA